GCGGCGGGAGGGUGUGCGCCCGGAUCGGCUCUCGUUCACUACCCGAGCACUCUGGACUUUUGUUCCGCCGCUCCCAGUGAGGCUGACACUCGUUGACAGUUUGUGGGUGGUAAUCUGGAGUGCUUCUGACGCCUCCAGGCAACGCUGACUGUUGCCGACUCACUGACACGGCCUCAGCGUCCUCUUGGCGACUUCAACGGCAAAAUAAUGUAACGAGAUGUUCAAUUACUAUGUUGGUGGGGAAAAGACAGUGUACCUUCUGCUCCUUUUUCCUUGGAUAAUGCAAGUGUUUACUGUACUGACUGGAGUUUAAAAUUCAAAGACCAGUGUGGGUGACGUGGGCUGGUGGGCUGGCGGGCCAGUAGUGUCCCGGAGCCUUGGCGGGCAGACCACCGUCGGGUCUGGUUGCCCCUCCCCGCUCAACACUUCACUCAGAAGAUGGCCGGCUGUCACUCUGCCUCUCCCUGCACCAUGACAGGCUUAGGUGUGAGACGAGACCCUAAGUCGCCCCCACGCACGACCACAAACACCAGACCACCACGACCUUUUCUGUGAGAUCCAGAGGGAAGAAAGAAAGAAAAGAUUUAGAAACUGCAAAGAAAGAAGAGAAAAAGGGCUUUUGAUAUUGCCAGGAAAAAAAGGGAAGGUUUCAGAAGCCUCAAAGAAAGUAAGAAAGGGAACAGAAAGUGAUAAAAAAUAAGGCUUGGGGGCGCAAAGAGAAGGAAAAACACAAGGCAAAAAAGUCGCCAAGGCCGCAAAGGUGCACGGAUAAAGAUUUCACGCCGCACAUAAAGUUCCAAAGAGAAGGUAAGAGAGAGAAAAAAACUACGUACAGUAAAUCCAAAACACUAAGAAAAGGGGCUUGAGGAAGAAGAGUGACUACAAAGAAUGAACUACAAAUAAAGGAUAAGAACAUAUCUAAAGAAAAGUUGACGCAAAAGACCGUGGCAAAUUAUACAUAAAGACAAUAAAAGUGCAAUCUAGAUACAUAAACUGGUGAACACAGAGAAUAGAGGAGACAUAAAUAACUGCUCUAAAUAACGAAUCUAAACAAAAUCAGAAUGAAGUUGUGAAAUUGUGAAAGAAAACACUUAGAUAGGCGCCUGUGAUUAAUGGAACUACUGCUGUGAGUAAAGAGAGAGAAUAAAGGACACAUUAUUAAGUGAUAUAAAGCCCUAAUCUAAACUAAAACCAGGGUAAAGUCUUGAGAAUAUGAAAGAAAAAGUCGCCACUGUGAUUGGUGAGAAUAUCGGUGAGUAAAAAAAAAAGAGAAUAGAGGAGACAUUAUUAACUUAUAUAGAUACCUAAACUAUCACUAAAUCAGGGUGAAACUUUGAGGAUAUGGAAGAAAAUACUUAAAGACGUCCCUGUGAUUGGUGGGAAUACUGCAGUGGGAAAAGAGCUGUGGUUGGUGAGACUAGUGCUGUGGGAAAAGGCUACAAGGGUGUGGCUUAGUAAUGUGUGACGUGAACGACCAAACAUUUGUAUUGAAGGAAGGAAAAAAGACAAACACAGGAAAAUUGCUUCUCCAUCGGUCUGCCUCUGUCAUUUUGUCUGUCUAUCUGUCCGUCAGUCUCUUUCUCUUCAAAUGUAAACCUACAGAAAUUUCAAUGCAUAAAGACAACAGAAGGAAAUAUCGAAAAUUAGAAAUAUCAAAUUAGGGGAUUAAAAAAAAUAUAACAAG